UUUGACCUCAGAUCAGACAAGACUACCCGCUGAAUUUAAGCAUAUUAAUAAGCGGAGGAAAAGAAACUAACAAGGAUUCCCCUAGUAACGGCGAGUGAAGCGGGAAGAGCUCAAACUUAAAAUCUCCGUUGCUUGCAACGGCGAAUUGUAGUCUCGAGAAACGUUUUCAAGGCGGAUGUACUGCGCUCAAGUUGCUUGGAACGGCACAUCGUAGAGGGUGACAAUCCCGUAUGUGGCGCAGUGCACUGUUCACGAUGCGUUUUCUAUGAGUCGGGUUGGUUGGGAAUCCAGCCCAAAAUGGGAGGUAAACUCCUUCUAAAGCUAAAUAUUGGCACGAGACCGAUAGCGAACAAGUACCGUGAGGGAAAGAUGAAAAGCACUUUGAAAAGAAAGUUAAUAGUACGUGAAACCGUUAGGAGGGAAGCGCAUGGAAUUAGCAAUGCACUGUCGAGAUUCAGGCAGUUGGUUUCUGGUACGGGUGUUUGACAGAUCUGAAUGGACUGUCGGCGCUCGUCACUGGUUUUUGGCUGUCGCAUUUCCCGACUGUGUGCGUCAACAACUGUUCGGACUGGGUGAUGAGCCCCGCGAGAAGGUAGCUUGCUUCGGCAAGUGUUAUAGAUCGUGGUGUGCGAGCCCGGGUCGGACAGAGGAGUCGCGGCACAUGCUCUUUUGGGCUGGCCUCUCUUGUCCCAGUCAGUUGUCGACCAUGGCGGACUGCGUGCAGUGCGCUUGAACUGCAGCGGGCUGUUGGCAGGAUGAGUGCACACACUGUGCCAAGGUUGUUGGCGGUCAUAUGGUUUCUUGCGACCCGUCUUGAAACACGGACCAAGGAGUCUAACAUGUGUGCGAGUCUUUGGGUGAUUGAAACCCCCAGGCACAAUGAAAGUAAAGGUUGCUUGCAGCUGAAGUGAGAUCCGUCCUCUCGGGGGCGGCGCAUCAUUGACCGACCUAUUCUACUCCUAGAAAGGUUUGAGUAAGAGCACAUCUGUUGGGACCCGAAAGAUGGUGAACUAUGCUUGAGUAGGGCGAAGCCAGAGGAAACUCUGGUGGAGGCUCGUAGCGAUUCUGACGUGCAAAUCGAUCGUCAAACUUGGGUAUACGGGGCAAAGA
rnacentral:rRNA from 1 species